UUACAAAAUCCCCAUCACACGGUUGAUUUAUUAACUCAUGACAAUUUCUGUAAGCCUUUAACAAAGCGAGUCAAAACCGGUACCGAGUCGACCUCCGCAACCCCACUUCGGCUUGUUGUGUCACACACGCGCAUAGUUUUCCCAGCUUAGCAAUAGCGACACUAUUAAAUUAAAUUUGAUGACAAACGAGUUGCUUUCUUGUCAUUCGAUAUGGAAAGACAGACCGCGAGGCGCGAGCAAGUUAACUUAACCGGCGGCGGAGAAUUGCGGAGCCGGCGUCUACUCUGUCACUGAGAGGCAGGGACAAGCAGCACUUUCAAUUCACCGUCGGUACGGCAGGUAACUCGUCGAUAAAUGAAAACGAAACAGCGUUUCCAAGAACCGGUGUCUAAUAUGUAUAUUGCUUGGUCCUUUCUUUUAAAAUGAAACAAUAAUUUAAGUGUUUGGACAUGAACUUGAAAACAUAAACGUAUUUGUCACCAAGACGGAGGCUGCGUGUACCGUUUAACAAACAUUUAUAUGUGUUAUAUGAAUGAAGAUGUGUUAUUGAGUCGUAUUUAGUUACUAUUUUAUAUUAAUUUAAUAAUAUUCUUGGGUUGUCUCCUGUGAUUUCAAGUUUAUAUUGACCAACCCUCUGAUCUGUGGCUGACUACUGUAUCAGAGAUGUUAUGUUUUUAGCAGAGAUCAGAUGUGAUGUUGUUUUCCCAUUCUUUUUUUUAGAGUGUGCAGAGUUUUUACGUCCAUCCAUUGAUGAGGCUAGCAAGGCCUUCAUACAGCCAAUUGCAACAAAUGUGGUGGAAGUUCUUCUCUGGACAGAAUCCUCAAAAUCCUUUCCUUUAUUUCCUGGCCAUGGGAAACAUGCAACAGAUCUCUCAAUCUUUUUUCUCAAUCAGUCUCUCUGAUGGAGCCAAUACGGAAGUGACUUAAACUGCAAUUCGGCAAAGAUGGCGACGGCACGCACCGCCUACUUUAGGCUUCAAAAAUGCUCUUCACAAACCAGUGGGUGACGUCACGGACACUACUUUCAUAUUUUUUUUACAGUCUAUGGUUUAAAGGCAUUUUACGUGCUUGAAAAUAAAUACCCCAGGCAAUGUGCAUCUACUGUAGUCUGUCAUUUUCCAAAUGGAUAAAUCCUCUGCUGUUCGGUUCCUUUGUACAUCUUUGUUCGUGAGGAGUAACUUUAAUAAAUGAAGUAUUUUUAGUCAAAUACAUUCCAUACUCUGAAACUUGGAACAUCUGGUCUAUAAAAAACUUUACACAUCUGUAAAUGAUUUUACUUUUAAUUUAACAAUUACAUUGUUUAUUUUCUUACACUGCUGCAGUUUUGUUUAUGUACAUUUCAGUAUUUCAUUUAUAUAUUGUAUAUACUUAUAUACAAAUUCUGUCUUAAAUUCAAACAAAUUGAUUUAACCUGUUACAUUGUUACUUCAAUGUGCAUAAUUUCUGAUAUUUAAUAAAUAUAUUUAUACUUGA